AUGUGCUCGGACUCCAAGGAAGUUGCUGCUGUACCACAGUCAACACACGCCACCUGCGCCCCCGCUUCGCCGCGCAGCGCACACCAAUCUGCCCACGCGCCGCCCCGCCCCGCCUCGCCUCUCCUCUCCUCUCCUCUCUCUUCUUCCUACGCGCGCCGAGAGAAGAUGGGGAAGCGAUGGAUCCCGCUCGAGGCCAACCCCGACGUCAUGAACCAGUUCAUCUGGGGACUGGGAGUCACCGAGGGGGAGGCGCAGUUCUGCGACGUCUACGGCCUCGACGACGAGCUGCUCGCCAUGGUGCCCCAGCCCGUCCUCGCCGUCAUCUUCCUCUACCCGCUCACCUCCCUGGAUGAGAAGGUGGAGGAAUACGAUGCUUCUGCCACCUCUACGGCAGGGGGCAAGGAUUCAAGCAAGAAGGUGUACUUUACAAAACAGACUGUUGGCAACGCUUGUGGAACAGUUGGUGUUAUUCAUGCAAUAGGGAAUGCUGCAUCCGACAUCAAGCUGGUUGAGGGAUCUUAUUUUGAUAGGUUUUAUAAACAAACAGCUGAUAUGGAUCCAGUUCAGCGUGCUGUCUUUCUCGAGGAGGAUGAUGAGAUGGAGGGUGCUCAUUCUGUUGCUGCUACUGCUGGUGACACUGACGUAAACGUUGAGGUGAAUGAACAUUUUGUCUGUUUCUCCUGUGUUGAUGGUGAACUUUACGAGCUUGAUGGGCGAAAAUCAAAACCGAUAUCUCAUGGCCCUUCAUCACCUGAGACCUUGCUGCAGGAUGCUGCAAAAGUCAUCAAGGCCAGAAUUGCGACGAACCCUAACUCGUUGAACUUCAACGUCAUGGUUCUUUCAAAACAGUGA
rnacentral:rRNA from 1 species